CUCUCAAGGAGGUUCCAAUUCCCAUGUGUGUGAUAUAGGCCUCUGGAAACAUGUCAGGUUGCAUGUUUCAUUUAUUGAAUAAGUAUUUAUGGAGCACCUACUCUGCAUAUAUAUGUGAGAGUGUGUGGUUCAGUGGCCAAAAGUGUGGGCCCUGGAAUCAGGCUGCCUGAUUCAAACCCUGACUCUGCCAUUUGCCGGCUGAGUUAGCCUUGGACUUGGACAAAUGAAUAAUUAAAAAUCCUGUCCAUCAAUCUCCUCACUUAUAAAACUGAGAUAACAGUAGCACCCACUUCUUAUAAAUCCUAUGCGGAUUAAGGAGUUAACACAGGAGAUGCACCUCAACAGUGCCUGGUGUACACUGGCCUUGAUAAGUAUCAGCUAUGUCUUCCCUGGCACGGGCUGGUGUCCACUAAUAAAUAGGGUGAAUUAGCAACUUAUCGUUUCAUAUCCCUUAUCCGGCCUGUUCUACUUGAUCCACAUCUCCAAAGAAAUAAAUUGAGUAGAGCAUUCUUCUAUUUAUUAUUUUUCCAUUUAGCCUAAGGUAUACAACCAAGGACACAAUAAACUGUUCAUUGUGCCUCAGUCUUUCCAAGCUGUUUACCAUAAUUAACUUUAGGGUCCAAUAGGACAAAUGAUUUUUAAAGAUAGUUUGUUCUACCUUCAACAAGGAAAAUUCUAACCUUCCAAUGUGUAAUCCUGUUCUUCAUAAUAAGGAUACCAAACCUUUAUUGAGUAUUUACUGUAUGCUAGGUAUUAUGUUAAGCACUUAGAAACUUUCUCUCUUAAUCCUUAGAAAAAUCUUAUGAAGUGGGUGUUAGUUGCCCCUGUUUAUAGAUGAGGAAAGUGAAACUGAUAAGGACUACUAUCCUGACUAAUUUCACACAUGUAAUAGAGUAACACCAGCUACUAUAACAGCAAACCCCAAAUCUCAGUGGCUUAUCAAAGUAAAACUUUCUUGCUCCUGUCCCAGCCUGAUGCAGGACAGUAAGAGCGGGAGGGUGAGUGAGCUGUGCUACCUGAAGUCAUUCAAGGACGCAGACUCCUUCUGUCUUCUGGGUCCAUUUUCAAGUUCACUCCAGUCUUCUCCCUUCAGCCAGCUGAGUGAGGAUUACAUAUGCAAAGCCCAGGCUAAUCUCCUUGACGAUGACAGACCAGAUGGUUUGAGAGAUCCAGCCAUCCCAGCUGUCCCAGCAAUCUCAGCUGAGCCCAGACACAUGAGUGAAGCCAGCCAGCACCAGCCAGUCUCCAGCCAAUUCACCAACUGA
rnacentral:lncRNA from 1 species